AGUAUUUGAGGAUAGAAAAGGUAGCUAUCACCUAUGUUAGAAGAUAUAGGAGUGCUGCUACCUCAUCUAAUACU
ncrna:unclassified sequences skipping-rope RNA